rnacentral:lncRNA from 1 species
AUGCGGCCUGGACACACACAUGGACUGGGCCGCCGUCAGGGAGGCGUGCGCGUCAUCGAGGUGAUGCAACCCCUGCUCAGUCACUUGUUGACUCAUGGAUGCCCCCCACCCCAGCCCAGGGCCUCCCCUUCCAUCCCGGAUGGGCAUGGGAUGAGCUGUGGCCAGGCUGGGACCGCAGAGCAGGGGCAGGGACCUGGGGGCAGAGAGGCAGCCAGGGUCUGGUGGUGGGAGCAGGGCUGCUCUGAACCCAGCCUCCCACCCUGCUCCACAGCACCCACUCUGCUCUCUUCAUUGGUCUGAGGGACUCUCUGAAGCCCCAUUCUCCAGGGCUCAUGCGGCUUGAACCAGCCACCCCGUGCUCCCCAGUGGCACUGAGCUGGGUUGAGCCUGGCCCUGUCCAUCCUAGUGUUCUGGCGCCAAGCCCCCCAGCCCACCCCAGAUGCAGGUUCGAGCUCUCUGGUGCCCAGGCCUGAAUCGCAGACAGCCCUGGGCUCUGCGGGGCUUAGGGUCACAUUUCUCAGUGUUUCUGUGAUGGCAGAAAAGACAUUUCCUGAGCCUGGAUUCCUGAGGUUUCUGAAGGUCCGUGACUCCAAGCACCGUAUUCUUUCCAGUGCUCCUGAGUUCCUGCAGCCACGUUCCCCUCCUCGGGGGAUAACGCUGGUCUGAAGGUCUAGAGCAGAUGAAGGUCUCAUAAGUCCCACCUCCCUAACUGCCAGGGCAGGUGCCUGGUGCUCUGAGGGUCUUGGGGAGUCCCAGUCCCCUGCCAGGCAUGUGAGGGGCCUCCCCACCUCACACGUUCUGUGAGGACAGAGCUGGGUCCUGCGCUGCUUUCUGCGGUCUGGACGGCUGGGAACGGAGCUGGGCGUUCUCUGCUCUGCCGGAGCUGGAGCUGGAGCUGCCCUGAUGAAGGCCAGUCCUGUGCUGUGAGCCCUGGUGGGGCCACCUGGCGGGGAUCCACAAAGCAGUCCACUGACUCCAGUGUUUUCUGCUCCCGUGGUCAGAUGGGCUCUUGUGAAAGCAGUUUUCCAGGUAAAGAUGGUGAAUAUUUAAGUCUACUAUGUCUGGAAAAAUGAGGAGUGGACCUGUAGCCCCUGUCCCAUCUCACAGGCAGCUUUGGAGAAAGUCUGUUCUGGGUACUGCCACUGGCCCAGGCCAGCUCCGGAGCUGCCCUUCUGUGGGACUCCGAGAGGGGCUGAGUGUCUGCUCCCAGCUUUAGACCCCUGCCCCGUGCCCAUCGCCUGAGACUGGACAGACCCAGCCACGUGUCUGAAUGAGCCCGACCCUGAGAGGCAUCUGAGCACUGAGCCCCUCCCCACAAUGCAGGCCAGGGGUGGCCUCUGCUCACCUGGAGAUUCAAGGUUUUGUUAUGACUUC